UACGGAGGGUGCAAGCGUUAAUCGGAAUUACUGGGCGUAAAGCGCACGCAGGCGGUCUGUCAAGUCGGAUGUGAAAUCCCCGGGCUCAACCUGGGAACUGCAUCCGAAACUGGCAGGCUAGAGUCUUGUAGAGGGGGGUAGAAUUCCAGGUGUAGCGGUGAAAUGCGUAGAGAUCUGGAGGAAUACCGGUGGCGAAGGCGGCCCCCUGGACAAAGACUGACGCUCAGGUGCGAAAGCGUGGGGAGCAAACAGGAUUAGAUACCCUGGUAGUCCACGCCGUAAACGAUGUCGAAGUGGAGGUUGGGCCCUUGAGGCGUGGCUUCCGGAGCUAACGCGUUAAGUAGACCGCCUGGGGAGUACGGCCGCAAGGGUAAA
rnacentral:rRNA from 1 species